rnacentral:rRNA from 1 species
CACGUAGUUAGCCGGUGCUUCUUCUGCAGGUACCGUCACUUUCGCUUCUUCCCUGCUGAAAGGGGUUUACAACCCGAAGGCCGUCAUCCCCCACGCGGCGUCGCUGCAUCAGGCUUUCGCCCAUUGUGCAAUAUUCCCCACUGCUGCCUCCCGUAGGAGUCUGGGCCGUGUCUCAGUCCCAGUGUGGCCGGUCGCCCUCUCAGGCCGGCUACCCGUCGUCGCCUUGGUGAGCCGUUACCUCACCAACUAGCUGAUAGGCCGCGAGUCCAUCCCAGACCGAAAAACUUUCCACACGAUAGAGAUGCCUCUUCGUGUCGUAUCCGGUAUUAGCUCCGGUUUCCCGGGGUUAUCCCAGAGUCUGGGGCAGGUUACUCACGUGUUACUCACCCGUUCGCCACUGAUCGCCCGGAGCAAGCUCCGAGGUCACCGUUCGACUUGCAUGUGUUAAGCACGCCGCCAGCGUCGUCCUGAGCCAGGAUCAAACUCU